CUCUUCAUAAUUGGCAUUAACUUGAGAUGUGGCACCCCUAUUUAGGCUACUUUUAGGUGGCAAGACCUGACUCAAAUGCUCACAAAAUUGGGCUAGCCAAUUAGCAAGGGAUGAGACUAAAUUGAUCUCCAAAGGAGCUAGGAUUUCCACACGUGCUAGCAUGGUUAUCGAGAAUCCUGAUUGAAUCUAAAAUUCCAAUUAAGCUUAUUAAAAGGAUCUUUGGCCAAUUUCUAUAUGUGUGUGACCCAUUAGAUUUUACAUCUAGCCAGC
rnacentral:lncRNA from 1 species